rnacentral:lncRNA from 1 species
UUCCAUUUUUCCCAUAUUUCUGGCUCAGCCGCGCUUCUUGCUAGCAGGAGGAAGUAGAUGGAUGCUCCUGGGAGGUGAUGCGAAGUUUGCGAGUCUGUUUUCCAUGAAGAAUCUCACUUAAGGUAUUGGAAGAAUCUUAUUAAAGGCUGUCUUCAUGCUGACUCAUGUUUCCUAACGGGGCUCUCCGACACAAUAACCCACAGCACUGAGAACUUGUAACUUCCCUGCACAGCAGAGCUCACAAAGUAGAUGUAUACAGACUACAGUAUUUACAGGAAUAAUCUAUUUC